GGGGUCGAGCCCAGCAGACUGCGGAUGCAACGCAAACUGCAACAACGUGGCUGGGAGUUACCACUGCACCUGCAUCAAUGGCUACAAGCCCAGCUCUGGGGAAGCCAACUUCACGCACGCGAGUGAGAACACCUGCCAGGAUAUUGACGAGUGUCAGGGCCUGAGCCCGGCAGACUGUGGACCCCACGCAAACUGCACCAAUGUGCCUGGGAAUUACUCCUGCACCUGCAUCGAUGGCUACGAGCCCAGCUCUGGGAAAGCCAAGUUCACGCACGCGAGU
rnacentral:lncRNA from 1 species